rnacentral:lncRNA from 1 species
UUGUGAGUAUACUUUGAGUGUUGCUAUACGGUGCGGGUUUCUGUCAGCACUAUACCGAAAUUCAGUCAGAAGUACGGUUAUUUUGAGGUAAGGGGUAUUAUUUUCUUCUUAAAUGAUAUUUUUUCUUCAAUAUCAUUAUGCCGAAGUAUUGGUGAACUUUUUUAUCAAAUUUGGAACUUGUUGUGUCGGGGUUACUAUUCACGUAUACGGCACUAUUCACGUAUACGACACUAUUCACGAAUACGGCACUAUUCACCGAAAAAUAAAAAUUUUUCUUUUUGUCCAAAAUAUCUAUUCUGGAUACUAGCUUUGAUUGUAUCCAUGUUUUGAUCAUUCUUGAAUUUUACACCAAUAUGAUUAUUUUCGAAGUAUUUUUGGACAUGGGUAAAACAAAGUACGAAUCCUUAAUCCUUAAUCCUUGUCAUUUUGUUUCACUGGAUUCGUUUCUUUAAAAAUGUUUUUCAUCAUCCUCAGUCCUAAAUGGUGAUAUAAAUGAAUAUCUUUGGCCUGUAGUGCAAAGAUGAACGAUUAACUGAUGAAUAUCUUUGGCCUGUAGUGCAAAGAUGAACAGGUGUUGAGAUGAACAUGACCAACUGGUGAUACAAAUGAAUAUCUUUGGCCUGUAGUGCAAAGAUGAUUAAAGAUGUAUAUUGAUUGUUAUUACAGGGAUAAACUAUUGAUGAUGGACUUUUAAACCUUAGAAGACAGUAGAAUUCUUUCUCUACGUGACUCUUCUAAUGGAUUGCUGUUUCCGCUGCAUUUGUUGAUCUAAAACUUGUUGUCUAUUGUAUUCUAUUAGAUUUUUCCCUGUUGAAGACUAACGAUAAUUUGUUGUAUAUUAUCUUAGUCAUAAUAUUCUUUACUGGGCUAGUUGAGCUCACCCUUUUCCUUUUUGUUCCAUUUUUCUUCUCAGGAGGUGAGAACAUAGCAGGAUCGAGUCGGGGUAUGGAGUGAUGGUUCUAGGAAGAUGUUUUAGCUGUCCUCACUACUUCUGUAAAAUAGUGUAUGAAUAAUUAAUGAGGACUUAUCUGGGUGUGUAUAUUGUCUAGAAGACAAUAUUUGUAUUCAAACUCACAGUUGUAUUGUCGUAUUCUACACGACAUAUGUAUUAAGUUGUAGUUUGCUUUUUAUACCAUGUAUUUUGGCG